ensembl:snRNA U1 U1 spliceosomal RNA
AUACUUACCUGGCAGGGGAGAUACUGUGAUCACGAAGGUGGUUCUCCUAGGGCGAGGCUCACCCAUUGCACUGCGGGUGUGUUGACCUCUGUGAUUUCCCCAAAUGCGGGAAACUCGACUGCAUAAUUUGUGGUAGUGGAGGACUGCAUGCGCGCUUUCCCCUG